GAUGAACGCUGGCGGCGUGCUUAACACAUGCAAGUCGAACGGAAAGGCCCAAGCUUGCUUGGGUACUCGAGUGGCGAACGGGUGAGUAACACGUGGGUGAUCUGCCCUGCACUUCGGGAUAAGCCUGGGAAACUGGGUCUAAUACCGGAUAGGACGAUGGUUUGGAUGCCAUUGUGGAAAGUUUUUACGGUGUGGGAUGAGCUCGCGGCCUAUCAGCUUGUUGGUGGGGUAAUGGCCUACCAAGGCGUCGACGGGUAGCCGGCCUGAGAGGGGGUACGGCCACAUUGGGACUGAGAUACGGCCCAGACUCCUACGGGAGGCAGCAGUGGGGAAUAUUGCACAAUGGGCGCAAGCCUGAUGCAGCGACGCCGCGUGGGGGAUGACGGCCUUCGGGUGGUAAACUCCUUUCGCUAGGGACGAAGCGUUUUUGUGACGGUACCUGGAGAAGAAGCACCGGCUAACUACGUG
rnacentral:rRNA from 1 species